rnacentral:tRNA from 1 species
GGUGCGAUAGCCAAGUGGUAAGGCAUCGGUCUGCAACACCGUCAUCGCCGGUUCAAAUCCGGCUCGCACCUC